rnacentral:rRNA from 1 species
UACGUAGGGGGCAAGCGUUGUCCGGAAUUACUGGGCGUAAAGAGCUCGUAGGUGGUUUGUCGCGUUGUUCGUGAAAUUCCCUGGCUUAACUGGGGCGUGCGGGCGAUACGGGCAGACUGGAGUACUGCAGGGAGGACUGGAAUUCCUGGUGUAGCGGUGGAAUGCGCAGAUAUCAGGAGGAACACCGGUGGCGAAGGCGGGUCUCUGGGCAGUAACUGACGCUGAGGAGCGAAAGCGUGGGGAGCGAACAGG